rnacentral:rRNA from 1 species
AUUGAACGCUGGCGGCAUGCUUUACACAUGCAAGUCGAACGGCAGCGCGGGCUUCGGCCUGGCGGCGAGUGGCGAACGGGUUAGUAAUACAUCGGAACGUGCCCAGUAGUGGGGGAUAGCUCGGCGAAAGCCGGAUUAAUACCGCAUACGACCUGAGGGUGAAAGCGGGGGAUCUUCGGACCUCGCGCUAUUGGAGCGGCCGAUGGCAGAUUAGCUAAUUGGUGGGGUAAAGGCCUACCAAGGCGACGAUCUGUAGCUGGUCUGAGAGGACGACCAGCCACACUGGGACUGAGACACGGCCCAGACUCCUACGGGAGGCAGCAGUGGGGAAUUUUGGACAAUGGGCGAAAGCCUGAUCCAGCAAUGCCGCGUGUGUGAUGAAGGCCUUCGGGUUGUAAAGCACUUUUGGCGGGAACGAAAAGGACUGUGCCAAUACCACGGUUCGAUGACGGUACCCGCAGAAUAAGCACCGGCUAACUACGUG